rnacentral:rRNA from 1 species
CCUACGGGAGGCAGCAGUAGGGAAUCUUCCACAAUGGGCGAAAGCCUGAUGGAGCAACGCCGCGUGGGUGAAGAAGGUCUUCGGAUCGUAAAACCCUGUUGUUAGAGAAGAAAGUGCGUGAGAGUAACUGUUCACGUUUCGACGGUAUCUAACCAGAAAGCCACGGCUAACUACGUCCCAGCAGCCGCGGUAAUACGUAGGUGGCAAGCGUUAUCCGGAUUUAUUGGGCGUAAAGGGAACGCAGGCGGUCUUUUAAGUCUGAUGUGAAAGCCUUCGGCUUAACCGGAGUAGUGCAUUGGAAACUGGGAGACUUGAGUGCAGAAGAGGAGAGUGGAACUCGAUGUGUAGCGGUGAAAUGCGUAGAUAUAUGGAAGAACACCAGUGGCGAAAGCGGCUCUCUGGUCUGUAACUGACGCUGAGGUUCGAAGGCGUGGGUAGCAAACAGGAUUAGAUACCCGGGUAGUC